UCAGGGCGUAGCUCAGCUUGGUAGAGCGCGUGGUUUGGGUCCACGAGGUCGCAGGUUCGAAUCCUGUCGCCCUGAU
rnacentral:tRNA from 1 species